rnacentral:rRNA from 1 species
CACAUGCAAGUCGAACGGGCACUUCGGUGCUAGUGGCGGACGGGUGAGUAACGCGUGGGAACGUGCCCUUUGGUUCGGAAUAGCCCCGGGAAACUGGGAGUAAUACUGGAUAAGCCCUUCGGGGGAAAGAUUUAUCGCCAAAGGAUCGGCCCGCGUUGGAUUAGGUAGUUGGUGGGGUAAUGGCCUACCAAGCCGACGAUCCAUAGCUGGUUUGAGAGGAUGAUCAGCCACACUGGGACUGAGACACGGCCCAGACUCCUACGGGAGGCGGCAGUGGGGAAUCUUAGACAAUGGGGGAAACCCUGAUCUAGCCAUGCCGCGUGAUCGAUGAAGGCCUUAGGGUUGUAAAGAUCUUUCAGUUGGGAAGAUAAUGACGGUACCCACAGAAGAAGCCCCGGCUAACUCCGUGCCAGCAGCCGCGGUAAUACGGAGGGGGCUAGCGUUAUUCGGAAUUACUGGGCGUAAAGCGCACGUAGGCGGACCGGAAAGUCAGAGGU